GAUUAUACGACUGCCAUUUUCAAAGGCAAAAUCAUCGCAGAAACGAUCCAGAAAACGAGGGCAAGCGUAGGACCAAUGUUAUAGUUUAUAGUUGAUUAAAAAUUUUGUUUUUAUGUCAAAUAUUUUGUAGUUGUGGGAAUUGAGCUUUGUGAGUUUCUCUUUGUACAUCUCAUCUCUUUCUUUGCCUAUAAGGAAAUUCAAAUCUAGGCUUCGGCAAUUCUUGUUUUUUUGGUUUAUGAUGUAGAUAUUGCUAGUUUUUUGUUAGGAAAACACAAGACGUGGAAAGAGAUCUUG
rnacentral:lncRNA from 1 species